GAAGAAAGUAAAUACCUUAUUGGAUUUGGUUGUAAAGAAGGCCUCAUACAGCAAAGCCCAUUCCAAAAUCCUAGUGUAGCUCUGUCGUGACAUCAUCCACCACUUUUAGGUCAAUUUUGUAAGUAAAUUACUCAUACAAAUAAAUUAAAAAAGGAAAUUGAUCACAUCAAUAUUAAAAAGUGACCGUUACAAAUAAAUUAAAAAAGGAACUACAUAGAAACAGUAUCCCGAUAAUUGCUUUCAUCAUAACAGAUUCUCACACCUUUGCAAUUGUGGCUUUAAGAGAUUCCAAAUUGUUGAUUUGAGUUUGAAAUAUAAUUUUAAAAUAUCAAUAAAGAAGUAAAGAAAGUAUUAUACCUGAUUGGACCUCGUUUGGGCCGUCACAGGAAAAGCCCAUUACCAAAUUCUUCGUCACUGCUCUGUUCUGUAGUUGAUGACAUCGAUGAAACUCAAACUAUCGCACUCGUCGUCAUUACCAAGUCCACUGAACAUGAUCUGUUCCAUCGCCAAGUUAUUCUUCGCUGCCACUGAACUGGUCGUCGUCUUCACUAAUCUCAUGAGAACGGUGAAAUUAGGGUAGACCCGAUUGACAGAAAACAGAGGAUGGUGAUCAAUCACGAAACGAGAUGAAAUCGUUUCAUAAAUCAUCGGCAUACUCUGAAUGGGUCAUCUCUUUCACGCUCUGGAUUCUUUUGUUUUCCUUUUGAAGAAGAAGAUGAAUGGAGAAUUAUGAUUUCACAAGGGAGAAAGAGUAUUUAUAAAACAAACGUUUUCAAUAGAAAAAUGAAAUUUUGGAUUGUUUCCUUUUUUUACAACGGUGUUAAGAAAAAAGGAAAUUUCAGUUAUACUGCAAAAAAUAAUGAAAAUUUGCUC
rnacentral:sRNA from 1 species